AUUGAACGCUGGCGGCAUGCUUUACACAUGCAAGUCGAACGGCAGCAUGGGCUUCGGCCUGAUGGCGAGUGGCGAACGGGUGAGUAAUGCAUCGGAACGCGUCCUGUAAUGGGGGAUAACCUGGCGAAAGCCAGGCUAAUACCGCAUACGUCCUGAGGGAGAAAGCGGGGGAUCGUAAGACCUCGUGUUAUAGGAGCGGCCGAUGUCGGAUUAGCUUGUUGGUGGGGUAAAGGCCUACCAAGGCGACGAUCCGUAGCUGGUCUGAGAGGACGACCAGCCACACUGGGACUGAGACACGGCCCAGACUCCUACGGGAGGCAGCAGUGGGGAAUUUUGGACAAUGGGGGCAACCCUGAUCCAGCCAUGCCGCGUGAGUGAAGAAGGCCUCGG
rnacentral:rRNA from 1 species